AUAACUUGUUAUCAAACAUGCGCUAUGAAAAUAAAAAAUCUGUUCUUAUCAGCUUAAUAUCUGAUACGUCCCCUACACGGGGACCAGAAUAUUAAACGGAUUUUUGAACAUUGGCGGGGUUACUAGAGCUUGCUCCUGCCCUGCCGCGGGUUGGUCUGGCAUUGCACUAUAGCCAUGAGCGGCCCAUUUUAU
rnacentral:snRNA from 1 species